rnacentral:rRNA from 1 species
AUGAACGCUAGCGACAGGCUUAACACAUGCAAGUCGAGGGGCAGCACAGGUAGCAAUACCGGGUGGCGACCGGCGCACGGGUGAGUAACGCGUAUGCAACUUGCCUAUCAGAGGGGGAUAACCCGGCGAAAGUCGGACUAAUACCGCAUGAAGCAGGGGCCCCGCAUGGGGAUAUUUGCUAAAGAUUCAUCGCUGAUAGAUAGGCAUGCGUUCCAUUAGGCAGUUGGCGGGGUAACGGCCCACCAAACCGACGAUGGAUAGGGGUUCUGAGAGGAAGGUCCCCCACAUUGGUACUGAGACACGGACCAAACUCCUACGGGAGGCAGCAGUGAGGAAUAUUGGUCAAUGGCCGAGAGGCUGAACCAGCCAAGUCGCGUGAGGGAUGAAGGUUCUAUGGAUCGUAAACCUCUUUUAUAAGGGAAUAAAGUGCGGGACGUGUCCCGUUUUGUAUGUACCUUAUGAAUAAGGAUCGGCUAACUCCGUGCCAGCAGCCGCGGUAAUACGGAGGAUCCGAGCGUUAUCCGGAUUUAUUGGGUUUAAAGGGUGCGUAGGCGGCCUUUUAAGUCAGCGGUGAAAGUCUGUGGCUCAACCAUAGAAUUGCCGUUGAAACUGGGGGGCUUGAGUAUGUUUGAGGCAGGCGGAAUGCGUGGUGUAGCGGUGAAAUGCAUAGAUAUCACGCAGAACCCCGAUUGCGAAGGCAGCCUGCCAAGCCAUUACUGACGCUGAUGCACGAAAGCGUGGGGAUCAAACAGGAUUAGAUACCCUGGUAGUCCACGCAGUAAACGAUGAUCACUAGCUGUUUGCGAUACACUGUAAGCGGCACAGCGAAAGCGUUAAGUGAUCCACCUGGGGAGUACGCCGGCAACGGUGAAACUCAAAGGAAUUGACGGGGGCCCGCACAAGCGGAGGAACAUGUGGUUUAAUUCGAUGAUACGCGAGGAACCUUACCCGGGCUUAAAUUGCAGCGGAAUGUAGUGGAAACAUUACAGCCUUCGGGCCGCUGUGAAGGUGCUGCAUGGUUGUCGUCAGCUCGUGCCGUGAGGUGUCGGCUUAAGUGCCAUAACGAGCGCAACCCUUGCCACUAGUUACUAACAGGUAAAGCUGAGGACUCUGGUGGGACUGCCAGCGUAAGCUGCGAGGAAGGCGGGGAUGACGUCAAAUCAGCACGGCCCUUACAUCCGGGGCGACACACGUGUUACAAUGGCGUGGACAAAGGGAAGCCACCUGGCGACAGGGAGCGAAUCCCCAAACCACGUCUCAGUUCGGAUCGGAGUCUGCAACCCGACUCCGUGAAGCUGGAUUCGCUAGUAAUCGCGCAUCAGCCAUGGCGCGGUGAAUACGUUCCCGGGCCUUGUACACACCGCCCGUCAAGCCAUGGGAGCCGGGGGUACCUGAAGUCCGUAACCGCGAGGAUCGGCCUAGGGUAAAACUGGUGACUGGGGCU